rnacentral:rRNA from 1 species
GCCGGCGAGCGGCGGACGGGUGAGUAAUGCCUAGGGAUCUGCCCAGUCGAGGGGGAUAACAGUUGGAAACGACUGCUAAUACCGCAUACGCCCUACGGGGGAAAGGAGGGGACCUUCGGGCCUUCCGCGAUUGGAUGAACCUAGGUGGGAUUAGCUAGUUGGUGAGGUAAUGGCUCACCAAGGCGACGAUCCCUAGCUGUUCUGAGAGGAUGAUCAGCCACACUGGGACUGAGACACGGCCCAGACUCC